rnacentral:rRNA from 1 species
AGAGUUUGACCAUGGCUCAGAUUGAACGCUGGCGGCAGGCCUAACACAUGCAAGUCGAACGGUAACAGGAAGAAGCUUGCUUCUUUGCUGACGAGUGGCGGACGGGUGAGUAAUGUCUGGGAAACUGCCUGAUGGAGGGGGAUAACUACUGGAAACGGUAGCUAAUACCGCAUAACGUCGCAAGACCAAAGAGGGGGACCUUCGGGCCUCUUGCCAUAGGAUGUGCCCAGAUGGGAUUAGCUAGUAGGUGGGGUAACGGCUCACCUAGGCGACGAUCCCUAGCUGGUCUGAGAGGAUGACCAGCCACACUGGAACUGAGACACGGUCCAGACUCCUACGGGAGGCAGCAGUGGGGAAUAUUGCACAAUGGGCGCAAGCCUGAUGCAGCCAUGCCGCGUGUAUGAAGAAGGCCUUCGGGUUGUAAAGUACUUUCAGCGGGGAGGAAGGGAGUAAAGUUAAUACCUUUGCUCAUUGACGUUACCCGCAGAAGAAGCACCGGCUAACUCCGUGCCAGCAGCCGCGGUAAUACGGAGGGUGCAAGCGUUAAUCGGAAUUACUGGGCGUAAAGCGCACGCAGGCGGUUUGUUAAGUCAGAUGUGAAAUCCCCGGGCUCAACCUGGGAACUGCAUCUGAUACUGGCAAGCUUGAGUCUCGUAGAGGGGGGUAGAAUUCCAGGUGUAGCGGUGAAAUGCGUAGAGAUCUGGAGGAAUACCGGUGGCGAAGGCGGCCCCCUGGACGAAGACUGACGCUCAGGUGCGAAAGCGUGGGGAGCAAACAGGAUUAGAUACCCUGGUAGUCCACGCCGUAAACGAUGUCGACUUGGAGGUUGUGCCCUUGAGGCGUGGCUUCCGGAGCUAACGCGUUAAGUCGACCGCCUGGGGAGUACGGCCGCAAGGUUAAAACUCAAAUGAAUUGACGGGGGCCCGCACAAGCGGUGGAGCAUGUGGUUUAAUUCGAUGCAACGCGAAGAACCUUACCUGGUCUUGACAUCCACGGAAGUUUUCAGAGAUGAGAAUGUGCCUUCGGGAACCGUGAGACAGGUGCUGCAUGGCUGUCGUCAGCUCGUGUUGUGAAAUGUUGGGUUAAGUCCCGCAACGAGCGCAACCCUUAUCCUUUGUUGCCAGCGGUCCGGCCGGGAACUCAAAGGAGACUGCCAGUGAUAAACUGGAGGAAGGUGGGGAUGACGUCAAGUCAUCAUGGCCCUUACGACCAGGGCUACACACGUGCUACAAUGGCGCAUACAAAGAGAAGCGACCUCGCGAGAGCAAGCGGACCUCAUAAAGUGCGUCGUAGUCCGGAUUGGAGUCUGCAACUCGACUCCAUGAAGUCGGAAUCGCUAGUAAUCGUGGAUCAGAAUGCCACGGUGAAUACGUUCCCGGGCCUUGUACACACCGCCCGUCACACCAUGGGAGUGGGUUGCAAAAGAAGUAGGUAGCUUAACCUUCGGGAGGGCGCUUACCACUUUGUGAUUCAUGACUGGGGUGAAGUCGUAACAAGGUA